UACGUAGGUGGCAAGCGUUGUCCGGAAUUAUUGGGCGUAAAGCGCGCGCAGGCGGUCUCUUAAGUCUGAUGUGAAAUCCCGUGGCUUAACCACGGGCGGUCAUUGGAAACUGGGGGACUUGAGUGCAGAAGAGAAGAGCGGAAUUCCACGUGUAGCGGUGAAAUGCGUAGAGAUGUGGAGGAACACCAGUGGCGAAGGCGGCUCUUUGGUCCAUUACUGACGCUGAGGAGCGAAAGCGUGGGGAGCGAACAGG
rnacentral:rRNA from 1 species